GGCGACGACGGGUAGGGGGCCUGAGAGGGUGAUCCCCCACAUUGGCACUGACACACGGGCCAAACUCCUACGGGAGGCAGCAGUGAGGAAUAUUGAGCAAUGGGUGAAAGCCAGACUCAGCAACGCCGCGUGGACGAUGAAGGCCUUCGGGUCGUAAAGUCCUUUUCAGGGGGACGAGAGAGGACGGUACCCCUGGAAUAAGUCACGGCUAACUACGUGCCAGCAGCCGCGGUAAAACGUAGGUGGCGAGCGUUAUCCGGAUUCAUUGGGCGUAAAGCGCCUGCAGGCGGUCCCGUAAGUGGGAUGUGAAAUCUCCUGGCUCAACUGGGAGAGGCCAUUCCAUACUGCGGGACUUGAGGGCAGAAGAGGGAAGCGGAAUUCCCGGUGUAGUGGUGAAAUGCGUAGAUAUCGGGAGGAACACCAGUGGCGAAGGCGGCUUCCUGGUCUGCUCCUGACGCUGAGAGGCGAAAGCUAGGGGAGCGAACGGGAUUAGAAACCCCGGUAGUCCUAGCCGUAAACGAUGGAUGCUAGGUGUAGGUGGUCCUAACCCCAUCUGUGCCGAAGCUAACGCGUUAAGCAUCCCGCCUGGGGACCACGGCCGCAAGGUUAAAACUCAAAGGAAUUGACGGGGGCCCGCACAAGCAGCGGAGCGUGUGGUUUAAUUCGACCCACACGAAGAACCUUACCCAGGUUUGACAUGCAGGUAGUAGUGAAGCGAAAGCGGAACGACCCUUCGGGGAGCCUGCACAGGUGCUGCAUGGCUGUCGUCAGCUCGUGCCGUGAGGUGUUUGGUUAAGUCCAGUAACGAGCGCAACCCCUGUUGUCAGUUACAUGUGUCUGACGAGACAGCCGGUCUUAAGCCGGAGGAAGGUGGGGAUGACGUCAAGUCAGCAUGGCCUUUAUAUCUGGGGCUACACACACGCUACAAUGGCCGGUACAAUGGGUCGCCAACCCGCGAGGGGGAGCCAAUCCUAAAAAGCCGGUCUCAGUUCGGAUUAGAGGCUGCAACCCGCCUCUAUGAAGUCGGAGUUGCUAGUAAACGCAGGUCAGCCAUACUGCGUUGAAUACGUUCCCGGGCCUUGUACACACCGCCCGUCACGUCAUGGGAGCUGGUAACACCUGAAGCCGGUGAGCUAACCGCAAGGAAGCAGCCGUCGAGGGUGGGACUGGUGACUGGGACGAGGUCGUAACAAGGUAGCUGUAGCGGAAGCUGCGGCUG
rnacentral:rRNA from 1 species